rnacentral:RNase_P_RNA from 1 species
AGAGUUGACCAGGCAAUCGCUGUGGCGGCUGUUUGCAGGACAUCCUGAUGUCUUGUGAGAAGCUGUUGUAGAGGAAAGUCCGGGCUCCACAGGGCAGAGUGCCAGGUAACGCCUGGGGGGCGUGAGCCUACGGAAAGUGCAGCAGAAAAUAAACCGCCAGUUCGCUGGUAAGGGUGAAAAGGUGCGGUAAGAGCGCACCGCGCGUCCGGUAACGGUUCGUGGCAGUGUAAACCCCACUCGGAGCAAGACCAAAUAGGAAUCCAGCGUUGCGGCCCGCAAUUGGAUUCGGGUAGGUUGCUUGAGGCCCUUGGUGACAAGGGUCCCAGAUGAAUGAUUGUCCACGACAGAACCCGGCUUAUCGGUCAACUCUCUUC